rnacentral:rRNA from 2 species
GAGGUGAACCUGCGGAGGGAUCAUUACCGA